GAACAAAUACAAUUAAUUAAAGUCAGCAAAACAAAAUAAGAAAAUGCAAAAAUCUAAAAAUGCUUUUUACAUCAUAUUUUAGUGUGCAUCAUAUCACGCUGAUAUGGGUAUAAAACAGAUCAUUUACGCGCCAAAUUUAGAUGAAAUUCAUAUAAACACACAAGAAGAGCGGUGUGUUUUUUCCUGCUAUAUUUCCAUGUGAUUUCUAUCUGCUCCUCUGCUGCUCCCACAUUGAUUUUGUGACACUGACACUCCCUCCCCGCUGCAGGCAAUAUUGCUGUUCUCUGUUUCCUCCAAAAGUUGCUCAUACAUCACCAGAGAGGACAACAAAAGCGGAGGGAGAGGCUGCAGACAACCUGCUUCUAAACUGCUUACUGAUUUUUUAAAUUUUUUAUUUCGUUCUCUUUAUUUCUUUUUUUCAUUUCACCUUCGUUUAUUUCCACCAUAAUCCACUCUUAGGCCUCUAUUCUAUUCUAUUCUAUUCUAUUCUAUUCUAUUCUAUUCUGCGCAGGUGUGGGCGUCUAUCUGUCACCUUGACCUCCCGCUUUGCUGCGGGUCAUCUCAGGUAUCGAUCAAGGUGUGUUGAGUCUGACUGCGGCACUUCCCUUCCCCUCUGUCAAGUUUGUCAGCAGCAGCCAUUCAGUCCAACGGGAGCCUUUUGUUUCCGGCUGCAGGUAGAGGUCAAUGUGCAAAACCCGAAAAUCCACAAAAAACUCAAGAGAUAUUUAAAGAGAAACACCUCAUGGAUGUGUGUGUUUGUGUGUGUGUGUGUGUGUUUGCACACACGGAGUAAUGUAUUAAUAAUAAAGAAGGCCUCUUUAAAAGAUGUCCGCUAACAAAAAAAAUGCGCAAAACAAACAGAAUCUUUGGUUAUUUAAAUAUUAUAAAUCCUAACCUGUCAGGGAGCUGAGGACCACUUUACGAGCUGAGACACCCCUCCUGAAAAACCAGACUGUCUUGUUUUCAAAACCACACACACGCAGUCAAGAGUUAAAAAUCAAAAUAGGCUUUCAGUCUGCUGUAACAUUAACACACACACACACACACACACACACACGCACAGAGGAUGACAUACAGCGGGAUGCGUCGAGUGGAAAAGGUCAGAGGAUCUGGAUUUAAACACGUGACUUUUUAUUGCGGGUCAAUUCCGUUUACAGCUCAAACACCAACAAGCUCAAACAGUUAACUUCCCGGAGGUUGAAAGGUUUUUUUUUUUUUUUUUACUUCUUGUUUGGAAGGAGGAGGUGAAAUAAAAAGCAAUAAAAUAUUCAGAGAGCGGAAGAGAGCAGGGCUGAAUAAAUAACUUUUAAAGUCCCCCCCCUCCUUCAAUUUACGACCUUUCUAACAAGUUUGUCCCAUCACAGGCUCGACACACACUCAGUUGUUGUUGGCAAAGCUGAGAAAAAAGUGCUCCGUUUCCACUAGAAAAUGGGAUUAAACCUUUUGACUAAAAUGGAUGAAUUUAAAGAAGCAUUAAGGACGCUCCGUUUCCUCUCCGCUUUGUGGGAACGGGAAGCAGCAGCAUUGUGUUGGAGCUGACUGUGGUUUAAUCAUUAAUGAGCAGUGGGGACAGGACAGGACAGGACAGGACAGGCAUGGCCUACAGCCUUGGACACACUCACACACACAGGACGGUAAUGUUGUUAUUAUAUAUACAGUCAGUCCAGAUGCAUUAGCGCGUUAGCUCCUGACGGGAUUUGUAGUUUUGACAUAACAUCAGUGUAUACCUGCUGCAGCGGCCUCGAGGGUAAACACCACUUUCUGACACAGUGGUGACAUAUUCAGAUUGAUACAUGAGAGAUAUGGCUAACAUAACUAGACUGGACUGAUAUGCUGCUUGAACAUAUUUACAAUGUGUUGAGUUAAACGGUAUCACGCAGCGUAAAUUAAUGACAGCCCUCUGCAGGUGUGUUACAGUUCUGGAGAAGCGGGAAAGUUACCGGGAGAAAGAAAAAACAGCAAGACCCGGCUGGACCGCGUCCUUCACGGCACCGUGAGCUCGUGCUUUGGGUCACUUCACUGGACUGUUACUCGUUGGGCGCUAUAAUACCACCAGGCCAGGCCACCACAAGAAGGGCCCCGGGACAAGUUAAAGAUUAACGGACAGAUGAAUGCGGCAUCACGGGGAGGGCCGCUUGUUUUUCUCCUCUGCUACAGGAGGAAGGAGCGGACACGCGCACACGCAGGUGCACGCCAAAUACUAAUCUAAAACAUUUGUAUUGAUUUUGUAUUGAAUUAAGAAUUAUUAUUAUUAUUAUUAUUAUUACUACUGCUAUUAUUGUUAUUAUUAGUAGUAAUAGUAGUAGUUAGUAGACUGUUACUAAUUGAUGUGUUUGGUAGCCUGCUAUUAGUGAACUGUUGUGAGUAAUAAUAAUAAUAGUUAUAAUUAUUAUUAUCAUCAAUGAUCUAGUAGUGCACUAGUUCUCAUACGAUUAUAUAAUAAUAAUUACAUUAUUACACACAUGUAUGUAAUUAAAUAUAUACAUACUUAGGUUAAGUUAUAUUGUGUGGCAGUAUAUAUGCAUAACAAUCUCACACACAUAACCUAGCCAAUGCAUAUGUACAUAUAUAUGCAUACAUAUGUAUAAAAAGAAGAAUUAUGUAUUAUUCUGUAAUAACUAAUGGACUAACUUAAUACCGAAAGCUGAAGUUACCGAACGUGCAUUAAUGUGUUCAUAAUAAGUUUCAGUUAUUACCUCUGAGCCUGCAGUGUAUUUUUAAUUUUUCAUUAAUAUUAUGAAGCUGCAGUACAGCUGGACUUUGUGUGAAUCCGGCGGUGCGUUUGAAUCGUUCAUGCGCAGCCGAAUAGUAAUAAUGUGGAAUUCCCCUCUGAUAACCACCGUCCUGAUGGUCAUAAUCUCACUCCACACACACACACACACAAACGCACACACACAGAAAAUCCAAUUGAGGUGUUUGGCUGUCGAGGAGAGAAGAAACAGAUGAUACGAUGCGAAAUAUUGAUUUUCCGUCUGAUCUUAAUGCACUCAAGUUGAUUUUGAAUGCCGGAUUAAAGUCAGAUGAUGCUCGAGUCAUAAAUUAAAUGCAACAUUGUGGAUUUCUGCCCCACCCCCACCUACUUCUUUCCUCACACACACACACACACAUACACACACACCUGGAUGCAAAGAUUUAUUUGUGGAGGGGCUGCACAACAGAUCUGCAGAUGAGCGAUCCGGUAAAGAUGAUGAAACCACAGAGCUGAGACGACUUAUUAUUUUUUACACACGCGAGCACAAAUACGCUUACGCACGCGCACAGCAGAGCCCCCCCUGUUUAUUGAAACAGCGAGCCUGACCAGUGAGCAUACAUUUUACAUACUAAGCUCCUGUUUCCUUGGGUACAACGCGCACAUACUCACACAUAUACGCAGAGACAGAGAGAGGCCAUUGGUGUGUUGUUGUGCGCGCAUGGAUUUCUCUACGCCUCAUUCACCACAGUGUAACAACAGUCAGGCCUAACAUGGUGGGGGGGGUCAGCCUUCCCUCUCACUCCCUCCAUGCUGCCACAAAUCUCUCUCUCUCUCUUUCUCUCUCUCUCUCUCUCUCUCUCUGCGUUGUUCACAUCAAAGAGAGAAAGAAGAAGCCAACACACGGAGUAAGACAAAAGACAAAUUGUACACUCCACACAUCACAUAUCCCCGCACGGUCACGUGCGCGCACAUUCACGCGCUCCCCCUGCCUGUCGUCAUGUCUGCAUGGUGUGGGUUCAUUCCAAAGAGGACAAAAACAGUGAAGUAACGGUCACAUCAUCAGUUUGUCAACAGCUCUCUCUCACACACACACACACACACACACACACACACACACACACACACACACACACACACACACACACACAUAACUAACGCAUCACACCUUUGGAACGACGACAGGGACAGACUGAGCUGUGAAGACAGGACGCAGAGAGACGUGUGUGUAUGUUGAAGAGAUAUCACCCUGUUUGGUACUGUUGCCAUCGCGACGCUAGAUGGCACCAGAGCGUUUUGCAGGAGCGUGUCGGGGCUGCAGGGCGGCUUUCUGCUGAGCACCUCCGGCUGACAGCAGCACGGUGCUGUGGCCGUGUGUCGGUGUGAGCACCGCUCCUGUAGCUCCUCCACACUAGACUAUGCUAUCACAGUACUAAUAUCUAACAUUGGUUUAUUGUUACAUCAUAUAUUAAAUGUGAAUACCUACAGGCUGUGUUUGGUGGAAUAAUCUACAUUGAUCUGUCCUCUGAAUAUGAAUGUACAUAUGUGUAUGUGAAUAAUACAGUAUGUUGUUGUAAAUGCAUAUUCAUAUAUAAAUAAAUGUCUAAAUUUGACUUGAGCCUUGUGACUGUUGACGCACACACACGCUAAAAAUACACUACACUACACACUAAAAUAAGACCGCAUUGCAGCUUCUG